rnacentral:lncRNA from 1 species
UUCCACUGUCAUUUCUUCAUUAGAAGAACAACUGUGUGAGCCGCUAUACUUCUAUUUUCUCCAAGGCUGUCAACCUUUUCAUGAGUUUUUGCCUUUAUAUUUACCACAGAAGCGUCAACUCCAAGCAGUGCAGAUAAGUUGGCCUUGAUAGCAUCCUUGUGCGGGCUUAGUUUCGGCCUCUGAAGUAUCAACGUUGCAUCUAAAUUUCCAAUAUCAUAACCUGCCUCAUGCAUAAGUCUGACCUAUUCAUGGACAAACACCGAAGAAUCGCAACCCUUCCACUUAGGAUCAGAAUCAGGAAAAAUCUGUCCUAUAUCAGGGAGACCUAA